rnacentral:lncRNA from 1 species
GACUUUCUCGACUCGUCGUCAGCCGGGGCCGCAGCGCGGCCGGUGGGGACUGCGGGGCGGGCCGGAGUCCGUCCGAGGGCUCCCGCACCUCGGGCUGCGGGUGAGUCGGCUUUAGGCGCCGUGGGCUCAAGUGGUUUAGGGCACCUGGGCUUGGGAAGAAGUCGUGGAGAGAGCCUUUAAUACUUUAUGGAGCUGGCGGGGAGAACAAAUAAAAUUGCGGUAGCUUGAAGGGCACUGACAUGCCACUGACUUGGGAACCGUAUCCGUGGGAACUCUUCGGGUGCCGGCGCGACCAAGGGCCUGUGCGCGGCUGGGUGGGAGAUGGAAAGGUUAGAAGGUCGCGGACUAGCCCUGCCUGCGACUGGCUCAGCUUGACCUUGGACCAGUGACUUUACCACUUAGAUUUUUCUCGUGGGUAAUAUGUGGGGCCACAGCAACGUGGUCUAUGCUGUCGUCCAGUUUUUAGACUACAUCUCCGUUUUUGAGAUUUUCCUAGGGCCUCAACACGGUGCGCGAGUUAUCAAGCGAUAGGCCAGGAUAUGUUUACAUGCGCCUGGAUUCACCUUUCAGCCUACUCAGAAGUAACUUUUAAGUCUGAUGUUUUAAAACACUAACAUUUAAAGGCUUUCCUUCACUAUCCAUUGCUUAUUUUACGAACCUUAGGAUUGUCGUAUUUUGCUGCACCAUUUGGAAUCCUAGGGGCCAGGGUGGGGACAGAGAGCCAAGUCUGAGGGUGAAGUGGCAGGUGCCCCCGGGCGAUCCCUGCCGGAUCCAGUUGAGGGGGAGAACAAAGCAUUUAUUAUGCAUAAGAGAGAGUGAACAGGGCAGGUGUUUGUGUUUUUGUUUUCUGUAUUAUACUGAAAACUUUUUUUGGUUGGGGGGGUGCGGGCAGUGGAGGAGGGGACAAAGAAGAAAAAGAAAUGUCAAAAAAGAGAGGAAAAUGUCACUUAUACCCAAAGUAAAUCUUAAAACUAAUGUAAGUCUUCCUUACAGGAACAGCAACACAUAAUGCAAGUACAUCUUGAUCUAAUUUUAAUGAAGGAUUGAAAAUAGCUACUGUGUUCAGUAUUACUGACGCCAAGGCAGCUCACUUACAUAAUCUUCUUUGUUGAGAUGUGUUAGUGGCAUGUAUAAUUUUGAUAAAUAAUUAAUGUUAAAGGUUUAGUCCGGCAAUGGUAUUGAAAUAUUGUCGUCACAGAUUGUAUUGCAAGACAAUGGUGUGUAAACUUUUGGUUAUCAUGAUAACCUGCAUUUUUUUCUCUAAACAGUAAAAUCACACAUUUUUCAUAACCAAAAUUCUCUUAAAUAAUGCAUGUGUACUUUGUCAGUAGUGUAUACAGGAGAAAUUAUUUUGUUCUGUAAAUGACAAAGUCUUUCAGUUUUCUCACCAUUUCAUGAGAGUGAAUUCUAGAUUUCAGGUACUCCACUGGGCAUUUUCUCUUCAUGGAGCUUAUAGCAACAAAAGUGUUUUACAAAAGUAAGUGCAUAAGUAUAGAUACUCAACCAAUAUUUGCUGAAUAAAAUACUCAGAUGACAAUAAUUAAAAGUCCAUCUUGUUCAUCCUUAAAGAGAAUGAUGAUCAUGCUUUAGUGGAGAGAAUGAAAGUAUCAAAGAAAGAACUGGCAGAAAAACAGAGCUUAGUUCCAGUAUCUAGCCUAAAUGUUUAUGCUUUAAAACAGGUAUACGCAUUUGAAAAGAGACAAAGACAAGUGAUAGGGUUUCUAGGAGAAAGAUAGCAGUAUUGAUUUAACGUAGUACAUUUUAUGACCUAGUUUUGUUUGAAGAACACGAACGUUUGUAAAGGUAUAUUUCUUAAAUAAUCAGUAGCUGUUUGCAUUGUGAUUGGAUGUCUAAUUAAAUGGCCUAAUCGUAACCAUAAUAUCUCACUUGAAUGCUGUUUUUAAAUUCAUUUUUAAAAUAGCUUGAAAUAAACCAAUUUAGUUACAUGAAGGAAAGUAUACCUUUUGAAAUCAAAAUCCACAGUGAGGAAAAAUUAUUGUCAGUGUAUCACCAAAUGUAAAUUAAGCACUGGAAGUAGCAUCUUGCCAAGAAGGUCUUCACUCUAGACAAUCACUUUGUGUAGAAGAGGUAUAAUGUGGAAUGUGGACUGCAGUGAGAGAUGCCCUUAUUCCUCUGAGGGUCUAUUUGGUGACAUCAGGAAAAUACUAACGCCCCCCCACCACUUCACCAUUUGUAAACCUGGCAACUUCUGGAAAGCCUAGUGGCCUUAUUUCAAAGUAACCACUCAACCUAGAACUUAGCAUUGAUAUUUGAACAGGCUAUUUUUGUAGAAUAUGGGUUCUCCUCUGUGCAGAUUUGCUGGCUGGGCUAUCUUGUAAGAGAUCACAGCAGUUUAUCUCAGAGUGUAGUCCUUAGAUCACCUGUGUCAGAAUCACCUGUAGUGCUUACAAAACUUCAAAAUCCUGGGCACAUCCCACAUUUACAUAAUCAGAAUGUCUGUGAACAGAACCUAGAAUUUCUGUUCAUAAAACCCAUUUAUGCCUAGUGUUCCAUUAUUGGAAUGCUGAGCUUGUGGGAGUUAUUUAUAUCCUACGGCUCGAGGUCAUUGCCAAGGUCUGAUUUUUCGCAAAAAAAUGUGCAACCUCUGGCAUAAAUGGGUUAAUGAACUCCUUCAGAAGUGAGAGUUAAUUACACUAAAUUUUAAGAAUUAGUGUUAGAGUUUUCUUGCCACAGUUGUAAUGCUCAUGUUGCUUUCUUCCAGGAACAUUAAAAUCUCCCCAGAUGCUCACUGCUCUGAUCAUUUCCCCUACAGCACCAGACAUGUUGGCAUCAUCUCUUAGUUGGGCCAUGUGGCCAGGGAACCCUUCAUGAAACCACCUCUGCAGUCCUGGAGAGUUGCUGUAGAAGAAGGAAAAGAGAGGAAGACAACACAACACAGGAGGGGAUAAGUACCUCUGGACACAAUGGAAGUAGUAGUUGUUGAGCAGAGGGAAAGGGAUAGGAGAAGGAUGUGGACUGCAGUGCUGCAGUGCCAGAGCCCCAGCAGCUACUAUUAAUGAGUGUCUGGAAUAUGUUCCUGGCAUUUCACCUACCCUCUCUCCAAUCCUUCCAAGAAACUCACAAAGCAGGGCUUUUUCUUGAACUUCUCUUCCUCACAACAGUUAAAUCAUCCAUUUAAAGAUGUCAAACAACCUCCGUGUUCUAAGAACUAUUUACUGAGCUCUACGGAGACACAGCUACAAGCACCACAUGCUGGACCCCUGAAUAUGGAGGGCCAACUACACUAGAAACACACACGCUAGCUGAGAAAGAUGGUGGCUUAAGGAGAUCACCAGUUUGUAGUAGAGGCCCACUCUCGGAAGGUUUGGUAAAAAGUUGUUUUGAAUCAUAAUGUUGGCUUUAUUGGCAUGUUGAAACCAUUUACCUCUGUAAUUUUCCAUUUGUUUUCCUUUCCAACUACCACUCCUCCUGCCUGAUAAAUAAAUACCAUUGCAAGAUUA